rnacentral:rRNA from 1 species
UGCGUAGGUGGUCUCGUGUGUCGGAUGUGAAAGCCCACGGCUCAACCGUGGAAUAGCAUCCGAAACUGCGGGACUAGAGUCCAGGAGGGGAGAGCGGAACUCUUGGUGUAGCGGUGAAAUGCGUUGAUAUCAAGAAGAACACCGGUGGCGAAGGCGGCUCUCUGGAAUGAUACUGACACUGAGGCACGAAAGCUGGGGGAGCAAACAGGAUUAGAUACCCUGGUAGUC